UAAUACGUAGGCAGCAAGCGUUGUUCGGAGUUACUGGGCGUAAAGAGUGCGUAGGCGGUGUCGUAAGUUUGGUGUGAAAUCUCCCGGCUUAACUGGGAGGGUGCGCCGAAAACUGCGAUGCUCGAGUGUGGGAGAGGUAAGCGGAAUUCCUGGUGUAGCGGUGAAAUGCGUAGAUAUCAGGAGGAACACCGGUGGUGUAGACGGCUUACUGGACCACGACUGACGCUGAGGCACGAAAGCGUGGGGAGCAAACAGGAUUAGAUACCCUGGUAGUCCACGCCCUAAACGAUGCAUACUUGGUGUGAGCCAUUCAUUUGGUUCGUGCCGGAGCUAACGCGUUAAGUAUGCCGCCUGGGGAGUACGGUCGCAAGGCUG
rnacentral:rRNA from 1 species